UGGGGCGUGGUAUAAUUGGUAGUACCGGAGAUUCUAAACCUCUGUGAUGUGCGGGUUCGAGCCCUGCCGCCCCAA
rnacentral:tRNA from 1 species